AACGAACGCUGGCGGCAUGCCUAACACAUGCAAGUCGAACGAGAUCUUCGGGUCGAGUGGCGCACGGGUGCGUAACGCGUGGGAAUCUGCCCUUUGGCUCGGAAUAACAGUGGGAAACGACUGCUAAUACCGGAUGAUGACGAAAGUCAAAAGAUUUAUCGCCAGAGGAUGAGCCCGCGUGGAAUUAGCUAGUUGGUGUGGUAAAGGCGCACCAAGGAGCCGAUCCUUGGGUGGUCUGAGAGGAUGAUCAGCCACACUGGGAAUGAGACACGGCCCAGACUCCUACGGGAGGCAGCAGUGGGGAAUAUUGGACAAUGGGCGAAAGCCUGAUCCAGCAAUGCCGCGUGAGUGAUGAAGGCCUUAGGGUUGUAAAGCUCUUUUGCCCGGGAUGAUAAUGACAGUACCGGGAGAAUAAGCUCCGGCUAACUCCGUGCCAGCCGCCGCCGUAA
rnacentral:rRNA from 1 species